CGUAACGAUAGUGUAUUUGGAAAAACUUCACAAUCUUAUAUUAAGGUGUAGAUUCCAUUUUUUAGUACAUAUACAUUAAGCAAUCGAUACCAAGUGGCGUAAAAAUAUGAACUAUACAUUUGUAUGCUAAUUAGCUGUUUCGAGGUUAUUGGAGUUGUCAUACAGCCAUAACGACAGUGCAUUAGGAAAAAUUUCGCAAUCUUAUAUUAAGGUGUAGAAUCGAUUUUUUAGUACAGAUGCACUAAGCAAUCUAUACCAAGUUGCGUAAAAAUAUGAACUAUACAUAUUUAUGCUAAAUAACCGUUUUGAGAUUAUUGGAGUUGCCAUACAGCCAUAACGACAGUGUAUUUGGAAAAAUUUCACAAUCUUAUAUUAAGGUGUAGAAUCGGUUUUUUAGUACAGAUGCACUAAGCAAUCUAUACCAAGUGUCGUAAAAAUACGAACUAUACAUAUUUAUGCUAAUUAGCUGUUUUGAGGUUAUUGGAGUUGUCAUAUAGCCGUAACGACAGUGUAUUUGGAAAAAUUUCACAAUCUUAUAUUAAGGUGUAGAAUCGAUUUUUUAGUACAUAUGCACUAAGUAACCGAUACCAAGUUACGUAAAAAUAUGAACUUUACAUGUUUAUGUUAAAUAGCCUUUUUGAAGUUAUUGGAGUUGUCAUAUAGCCAUAACGACAGUGUAUUUGGAAAAAUUUCACAAUCUUAUAUUUAGAUGUAGAAUCGAUUUUUUAGUACAGAUGCACUAAGCAAUCUAUACCAAGUUGCGUAAAAAUAUGAACUAUACAUAUUUAUGCUAAUUAGCUGUUUUGAGGUUAUUGGAGAUGUCAUAUAGCCAUAACGACAGUGUAUUUAGAAAAAUUUCACAAUCUUAUAUUAAGGUGUAGAAUCGAUUUUGUAGUACAUAUGCACUAAGUAGCCGAUACCAAGUUGCAGAAAAAUAUGAACUAUACAUAUUUAUGCUAAUUAACCGUUUUGAGGUUAUUGGAGUUGUCAUAUAGCCAUAACGACAGUGUAUUUGGAAAAAUUUCACAAUCUUAUAUUAAGGUGUAGAAUCCAUUUUUUAGUACAUAUACAUUAAGCAAUCGAUACCAAGUUGCGUAAAAAUAUGAACUAUACAUAUUUAUACUAAUUAGCUGUUUUGAGGUUAUUGGAGUUGUCAUAUAGCCAUAACGACAGUGCAUUUGGAAAAAUUUCACAAUCUUAUAUUAAGGUGUAGAAUCGAUUUUUUAGUACAGAUGUACUAAGCAAUCUAUACCAAGCUGCGUAAAAAUACGAACUAUACAUAUUUAUGCUAAUUAACCGUUUUGAGGUUAUUGGAGUUGUCAUAUAGCCAUAACGACAGUGUAUUUCCAAAAAUUUCACAAUCUUAUAUUAAGGUGUAGAAUCGAUUUUGUAGUACAUAUGCACUAAGUAGCCGAUACCAAGUUGCGUAAAAAUACGAACUAUACAUAUUUAUGCUAAUUAACCGUUUUGAGGUUAUUGGAGUUGUCAUAUAGCCAUAACGACAGUGUAUUUGGAAAAAUUUCACAAUCUUAUAUUAAGGUGUAGAAUCGAUUUUUUAGUACAUAUACAUUAAGCAAUCUAUACCAAGUUGCGUAAAAAUAUGAACUAUACAUAUUUAUGCUAAUUAACCGUUUUGAGGUUAUUGGAG